AUUAGUUGUAGAUUACAGACUUUUUUUUGUAUAUUUCUUAAGGAAGUGUUUUUAUUAUUUUUGUUUUUUAAACCUGAUCUGCUGCAGGAAAGACUACUUUCACUCAAGACAAAGAGAAAGACUUGCUCGCUUCAUGCAUCACAAGAAAUGUGUGUGUGUGUGUGUGUGUGUGUGUGUGUGUGUGUGUGUGUGUGUGUGUGUGUGUGUGUGUGUGUCAUCUUCCUCAGAGUGACGUAUCUACCAUUACACCUUGUUCACUCGCUUCCUUAAAGACACACACACACACACACACACACACACACACACACACACACACACACACACACACACACACACACACACACACACACAAACAAACAACAACUUUCGUAACGUGCAUUUUGCCAAGCGCUCUCUGCCUCGCUGUGCACACAAAGAAAAAGAGAAGAAAAAAGAAAAUGGAGAAACAAACAUGGAAAAAAAAGACGCCAGACCCGCGAUACGCAAGAAGAAAAGAGGAGAAAGACGAAGUGUCGCGCUUUCUUUCUUUCUUCAACUCUUUCUUUCUUUCUUUUUUUUUUUUUUACUUUCUUUGUACAGUUUACACAUUUUUUCCCCUGACUCAUUUCCUUUCCCGCGGCAUCAGAACAAACGGGUGAAGGGAGGGAGAGAGAGAAGGAAGUCAACUAAGGCAGGAGGAAAAUGUUAUGAAGACCGAUAUGAAUAAGAAAACGGAGAUGCGUAGUCACGAUUUCCAUUUUCUUACAGCUAUUCCUCUCUCUCUCUCUCUCUCUCUCUCUCUCUCUCUCUCUCUCUCUCUCUCUCUCUCUCUCUCUCUCUCUCUCUCUCUCUCUCUCUCUCUCUCUCUCAUUGGGGAAAUAUCGGAGAGGCGCUGCGAUUCCAGAAGUGAUUAAAGACCUUUUAGUGCGGAUUACUUGUUGAAACAUGGGCGCGAGUAAAUUUAAAAGCUAGAACGGAGAAAACGGGAGAGCCGAGAAAAAGGAGAGAGAGAGAGAGUGAGAGAAAGAGUGAGGUGGCACGAACGCGGGAGCUUAAGAGGAAGUGACGUCAUAAAGGUAAACAAAUGUGAUGUAUUCCUCCGCCACCUCCGCUACAAGAAACCAGCUCACGAAAUUCUGUGCUAGAGGUGUAUGAUUUUUUUAAUUUUUUAUUUCUCAUUCAGUUCCCAGCGAUCGUCUUAAUAUGUGGAGUGAAAGCAGAAAGCAAAUGUAUUCCUGGUUGCUCGGUUCUCCAAACUUCAAAGGAGCGGUGUGUUCUUUGGGAAGGUGUUUGAUUGCUUUGGAACGGUUCAGACUGGUAUAGAUAGUUUUAGUACAAGGUGCAUCUAACUGGUAAUCAGAUGUUGUCAUGCGUUUCGGAGUCUUUUCCAGUCAUUAGUAUCUUUGGUAAAGGUUAUUAAGUUUUUUUUUUCAAGGGUGCUUUCGUGACGGUACGAAUAAUUUGAUAAGAAUUCAGUACUACCAACAGCGAGAUAUCCACGAGACCUCACCUGGUUAUCUCCAUGGCGUUUGAGAGAGAGAGAGAGAGAGAGAGAGAGAGAGAGAGAGAGAGAGAGAGAGAGAGAGAGAGAGAGAGAGAGAGAGAGAGACGUUCUAAUCCUGGCCUAGGACUUGUCGAGAGCGGGAGAGAGGAGCAGUUCAUGUUUCUCAAAUACACCGCAACUCAUACACAACUCCGGUAUUUGCCAUCUGGACCACCACCACCACCAACUAUUACUACUACUACUACUACUACCACCAUCCUCACAGUCGCCGCCACCACCAUGCCACCGCUACCUUCCCACCAAGGCACGGAAGACCAGCAAGCGUCCCUGCGUGAUGACGACCCUUCCAAUCAACCAUAGUAAUAAGGCUUCCUGUCGCAGUAGUACCGUCGUCAAUAUGUAGUUGUUGUUACAUGUAAGUACCUAGUAAGUAAGAUAAAUACGUUACUUACUAAAGGGCGGAGGGAUGGAUUGUUUUCAAAGGCGCGUGAUGUUUCAUAGUAUAGACGUAGAACUCAUUUACGAUUCCUUGCGCCAGGCGAAGUAGUUUUGUCGCUAGAGAUGUGCCGACACGUUCGUUUGGACUUCAUGAGGGUGCGUUUUGCUGUCCGUGGCAGCGGUUGGGAUGCCUCUCCGCGAAUCAAUGAUUUGAUGAAAGGAAGAAGUGAAAGUGUGCGGAACAAUACAUAUACUGCCUAGUAAAGUAGUGACAAUUUCGCGCAUUUAUACAAUACAGUAAAGCGCAGCGAUAUAAUACAGACCUGUGCAUUUCAGUAGCUAACAUGACAGCGUUUCGUGCACACCAAGCAAUAAAGUAACAACAUUCUGCGCAUCAAUAGAAAAAACGACAAUGCGUAGUGAAGUAAAGCUCUGCGCAUAUAAGUAGUAGUGCGCAUCUAGUAGUAUUGCUUCAGGACUGCACAAUAGACAUUCUAUGCAUUUAUAGAUACAGCAAUGCGCAGUGAGGCAAUAUGGAUAACUGAAAGGUUCGCAACAAAUAACUUUCCGUAUAAACUGCGCAGCGAAUUAGCGACAUUCUGCGAUUUGAUAGAAUAUAGUGGGACGCAACGAUUUUUUUUUUUUUUUUUUGAGUAACGGAGGAGAGCAUGCAAAAUAAAUUGCGUUUUGCACACUUAUAAACAGCAUCUCAAUGUGCUAAGACGCGGCGAUAAGCAUUGUUACGGGCGCCGGGAACGUAAUUUAACGUUUUGUGCGUGAACGGGUUUGUAAAUUCCGGAAAAGACUUGCUCAUUGGCGGGCUUCUCGAACCACCAACGCCUCGUGAAUCAAAGUGCGGGGCGGUUGGGCGUCCUCUGUGUGUGUGUGUGUGUGUGUGUGUUGUAGUGUCGUGAUUUGGAGUGCUGCCAGCUGUUCGUCGUGUUCACCUUUUCGUUGGUGGUCGUGGUGUUUCGCUUUUUUGUUACUUCUACUCAUUUUUCACUCCCUAAACUGUGUUAAUUUCCAAUAUUUACAUAUAGUUUAAUUCUUUUCAUGCAGUUAAUUAAUCUAUAUCCCUUUGCAUUAUAUUUUUAUCGAUUUUUUCAAGUUAAGUUCCUCCUGCGUUGAUGAAUAACACUGAGCCCAACACUGAUCAUCCCAAUGCUUCGUUUGCUUAAGGUGUUACUGUUACAAUUACCACAAUUAUUAUUAUUAUUAUUAUUAUUAUUAUUACUUCAGUCGCGUCUUUUCGAUUUCGUUAUUUAUCCACUGUGUCAUUUGAACCCCUCCUGAAUACUCUGGUAGCUUGAGUUUUGCAUUCCUUUCGAUGCCUGCAGCUGGUAUGCAUUCGUGUUCGCUGAGUCACCGUCAAAGGUGUUCAAUGUUUCUCCACGUCGCUCAUAAAGACGUGUUCGCUGCUUCAUACUCCCUCCCGUUCACAUGUCCGAAACGUCUCUGUGUUGGUGUUUCACUCCUCAACCUUCCACUCCUACCUAUGUUCACCUCUCGUGUUUACUCCACUUCGCUGUUUCUUGAAGUUAUAAAGUAUUAAUCAUAAGUACGAACAGUAUAUUAGGUAAGGUUUAGUAAUAUGAUGUACAUGCUUCCUUCUCUAUGUUCCGUGCUUCGUGUGGGCAGUGAGCAGCUCGACUCCUGGUGGUGCGGGUGACAGUGGCACGGCGACAGCUACCGCCACACCUCAAUACACCAAUAUGGCACCAUAACACGAACAACUUAACAUAAAAAAAGCUAACCUACACCAAGCCAACCUAUCUACACGUGUCAUUCAUUAUCUGAAACAUACAUACUUUCCCUAUAUUUGGCUCUUAUUCCUAUCUAUAUAUCCAUAAAGUCAUAUAAUCUUGAAGUAACUGACUCCGCACCAACAACACCAUUAAUGAAUAUUUCCGUCAUCUGCCACUGUAAUUUGAGCAAAAUGUUCCUCAUGUCUCUCUUUCUUUUAUCAGAUCAAACUUCAAGCUUGGGUUCAUUAAUUACACUAAGGAGUUUAUUACAUUCCAUAUAAAUAUUAAUAUCAGAUCCUAUCUAAAUCUACGCCACCUAAAAACAUCACGCUCCCUCUUAAGAAAGCAAAUAUUUGUUACUUGCCAGAACAUUAAAAUUUGAAACAGAAAGACAGACCACCGCUUAUCACCUUUCCACACACACACACACACACACACACACACACACACACACACCUCCUCACUGAGCCGCCACCGCCACACGUAUGUACGCCACUAGCACGGUCGUGACACCUGGAUGUAGCAGCACCUUGUUUCCCUCCUCACCGAGCACCUCUUUGCCUUCAUCACCGCCUGUAGGGCAAAGCCGUAGAUCGUCCCUCCUCACACCCUAUCGAUAGUAGAUACCUUCGACAUUCCUCUGUUUUACGUAUAUAUAUAUACACACGUACACAUGUAUACUCGUCAGGAAACUGCUCUUCGUUAAUACUUCAUAUACAUACAUAACUUGGUAUAAAAUGAGCGUUUUCUUAUGUAGGGAAAUUUGUUACUGCUUAUCAGAACACACACACACACACACACACACACACACACACACACACACACACACACACACACACACACACACACACACUAUUUAGCUUAAUUAUUUGUAAAAAAGACAUGCAUAAUAAUAAGACCACAUUCCUUCUUUUUUUGCUUCCUAGAACAGCACAUGCAUAAUACAUGUAUUAAAUAAUUCAUUGAUUAAUUAGUUCAUUUUAUUAAUUUCUUUCUGCUCUAUAGAACAAAAUACUAAUGAUGGUGUAUUUGUUUUAUUAAAUGACACACACACACACACACACACACACACACACACACACACACACACACACACACACACACACACACACACACACACACACACAAAUAAA